CCUACGGGUGGCUGCAGUGGGGAAUAUUGGUCAAUGGGGGCAACCCUGAUCCAGCCAUGCCGCGUGUGUGAAGAAGGCCCUCGGGUUGUAAAGCACUUUCAGUGGGGAAGAACGCCUGGUGGUUAAUACCCAUCAGGAAAGACAUCACUCACAGAAGAAGCACCGGCUAACUCCGUGCCAGCAGCCGCGGUAAUACGGAGGGUGCGAGCGUUAAUCGGAAUUACUGGGCGUAAAGCGCGCGUAGGUGGCUUGAUAAGCCGGUUGUGAAAGCCCCGGGCUCAACCUGGGAACGGCAUCCGGAACUGUCAAGCUAGAGUGCAGGAGAGGAAGGUAGAAUUCCCGGUGUAGCGGUGAAAUGCGUAGAGAUCGGGAGGAAUACCAGUGGCGAAGGCGGCCUUCUGGACUGACACUGACACUGAGGUGCGAAAGCGUGGGGAGCAAACAGGAUUAGAUACCCCAGUAGUC
rnacentral:rRNA from 1 species